rnacentral:rRNA from 1 species
GAUGAACGCUAGCGAUAGGCCUAACACAUGCAAGUCGAGGGGCAUCACAUGAAGUAGCAAUACGGAUGGUGGCGACCGGCGCACGGGUGAGUAACACGUAUGCAACCUGCCUUCAACAAGGGGAUAACCCGUUGAAAGACGGACUAAUACCCUAUAACACAGGGGUCCCGCAUGGGAAUAUUUGUUAAAGGACAACCGGUUGAAGAUGGGCAUGCGUUCCAUUAGCUAGUUGGCGGGGUAACGGCCCACCAAGGCAACGAUGGAUAGGGGAACUGAGAGGUUUAUCCCCCACACUGGUACUGAGACACGGACCAGACUCCUACGGGAGGCAGCAGUGAGGAAUAUUGGUCAAUGGGCGAGAGCCUGAACCAGCCAAGUCGCGUGCAGGAAGAAUGUCCUAUGGAUUGUAAACUGCUUUUGCAGGGGAAUAAAGUGAGCCACGUGUUGGUUUUUUGUAUGUACUCUGCGAAUAAGGAUCGGCUAACUCCGUGCCAGCAGC